rnacentral:misc_RNA from 1 species
AACGCACCUUGCGCUCCUUGGUAUUCUGAGGAGCAUGCCUGUUUGAGUGUCAGUAAAUUCUCAACUCCUCCAGCUUUGUGAAGGUUGGUUUUGGAGCUUUGGAUAUGGAGGGUUAUGCAGGUCCCCCUAGUUAAAGUGGGGAUCAGCUCCUCUGGAAUGCAUUAGCAGAAACUGGUUGCAAAUCUGCCUCUGGUGUGAUAAUUAUCUACGCCAUCUGGAUUGCUCUCAAGUGUUCAGCUUCAAAUAGUCCUGUUUUGUGUGGACAGUAUUCUGAACUUUUGACCUCAAAUCAGGUAGGAUUACCCGCUGAACUUAA